rnacentral:rRNA from 1 species
AGAUGGCGACCGGCGCACGGGUGAGUAACACGUAUCCAACCUGCCGAUAACUCGGGGAUAGCCUUUCGAAAGAAAGAUUAAUACCCGAUGGCAUAAUAGAACCGCAUGGUUUGAUUAUUAAAGAAUUUCGGUUAUCGAUGGGGAUGCGUUCCAUUAGGCAGUUGGUGGGGUAAUGGCCCACCAAACCUUCGAUGGAUAGGGGGUUCUGAGAGGAAGGUCCCCCACAUUGGAACUGAGACACGGUCCAAACUCCUACGGGAGGCAGCAUG